rnacentral:misc_RNA from 1 species
GGCACCAACACGUACGCAUGCCUUAGUAAUUUCCUGGCAGAGAGCACAAUUGAAGUUUUCAUGGAUACGGAGAUUAGAAAGUCUAAAUAUCCGAAGUCUCUGCAAUAUGUCGAAUAAGAGAUUAGCAUCUUGACGGUUCGCACAACUUUGUAUUAGGGACCACAACCAGGCAUUGGGCGGAGCACUUCUUUGAUCCACGACAGACUUCAGUAUCUUGUCAUACAAUUCCUUCACAGACUCUGUCACGCUACUUUCAACUGUCCCUGCUUCCGUAGAAAAUGAUGCCCUAAGCAUCACAGUGCAUUUCUGACACCGACAUACAUUUCCCUGAAGAUUGCAUUCUUUUUUCAUAUACUUUCCAUAAAUCGUACCAGAGAUAAAGUAACCACGCCAUUGAGAAGAAGAUUGAAUAUCUUCAGGAGAUAGAACACGCGACACUGAGUUGAACAAAAUCGGAGAGGAUGAGCGUCUCAAAACCCUAGCAAGUUGGUGAGCCUUCAAA